rnacentral:piRNA from 1 species
UGCCUCGUGCAAAGUCUCUGCUCCUCUC